GCACCUCCAGCAGUUCCCUUGUCCUCACCAAAAUAUCUCCCAAAAAAAUUCCUUGGGUGUCGCUGCCUCCCCUUCCCAAGCCAACCUACGACAAUUGCCGAACCUUCAACAGGACCACGCCAUCAGCACCACGCUGCACACAGGCCGCUUCGCUUGGCCGCCACCGACCACCGCACUGCCACCUCCCCGCACUACCAAUGGCCGGCAGAUAAGUUUAAAUUAUGGUUAGAACAUUUCUACAUUUUUCAUAUUAUGAAUCAAAAGGUCCUAAAAGAGAGAAAAAUUUGCAGAGAAAAUUACAAGCCACAAACAUCCAAGGAAGCAAUUAGCAGCAUUAGCUCUCAAGCAUGGACAACUACUAAUGUUUCGAGAAACAAUCGUCGAAUUUAA
rnacentral:rRNA from 1 species